rnacentral:lncRNA from 1 species
GUAGAUUUGUAAAAGGUGUUCACAGUUGUUUUUGCUGUUGCUGCUUUCUAGAGUGAUAGUUCUUUCUUUAGUUGGGUUUGGUACAUCUAUUUCAUGAUGCAGAUUUUCCUGAAAUAUUUUGUCAAUCUGGACUAUGUGUACAGUCAAAUAUUUCACAUUAAUUUUUUAAUUUUCUCUGAAUGUUUAUAUUUACUUCUACCAAUAAUCUGGGAAUAAGAAUGAGUAAGCAGCCGGGUCUAUUAUUCCAGCAGCUCACCCGCUCUUUCAGAGUAUGGGGAUUUCUGAAGAAAAAAUUGCUGGAACCAGGAUUAACUUAAGAAAGCAACACACAGAAUUAAAUGAGGAUUUGGAUUUCUCACUAUUCUGAAGGCAACAGCAGCAUUAUUACUUAUAAAAAUAGUGUGUAUAUUUGUUGGGAGGUGUUGGGGAUAAUCUCUUGUAUGUAGUACCUUUUUAAUUAUGGAAGUUUUCAUCAGUGGUAAAUUGGUUUGAGGUACAGUUAGUUGGAAGGUGAAGUAGUCAGGUACGUACUGGGUAUGACACUUAUUUGGUAAAGGUACAAUAAUAAUGAUAAAAAUUGUGAUGUGAGCUUGUUGCACUGAAAAUCUUUGUAAUAAUA